GUUGGAAUGAAGGCUGGAGCCAAAUCCUGGCUCGCCCCCUUACUAGUCACAUAGCAAAUCCUGGCUCACCCCUCACUAGUCACAUAUCAAAUCCUGUCUCACCCCUCACUAGUCACAUAUCAAAUCCUGUCUCACCCCCUUACUAGUCACAUAUCAAAUCCUGGCUCACCCCCUUACUAGUCACAUAUCAAAUCCUGGCUCACUCGUCACUAGUCACAUAUCAAAUCCUGGCUGGCUCACCCCUUACUAGCCACAUAUCAAAUCCUGGCUGACCCCUCCACUAGGCACAUACCGAAUCCUGGCUCACCCCUCAUUAGUCACAUAUUGAAUCCCAGCUCACCCCUUACUAGUCACAUGUCAAAUCCUGGCUCACCCCUCACUAGUCACAUAUCAAAUCCUGGCUCGCCCCUCAGUAGCCACAUAUCAAAUCCUGGCUCACUCCUCACUACUCACAUAUCGAAUCCUGGCUCACCCCUCACUAGCCACAUAUCAAAUCCUGGCUCGCCCCCUUACUAGUCACGUAUCGAAUCCUGGCUCGUCACGUAUCGAAUCCUGGCUCACCCCUCACUGGUCACGUAUGGAAUCCUGGCUCGCCCCUCACUGGUCACGUAUCGAAUCCUGGCUCGCCCCUCACUGGUCACGUAUCGAAUCCUGGCUCGCCCCUCACUGGUCACGUAUCGAAUCCUGGCUCGCCCCUCACUGGUCACGUAUCGAAUCCUGGCUGACCCCUUACUGGUCACGUAUCGAAUCCUGGCUCGCCCCUCACUUGUCACGUAUCGAAUCCUGGCUCACCCCCUUACUAGUCACAUAUCAAAUCCUGGUUCGCCCACUUACUAGUCACAUAUCGAAUCCUGGCUCGCCCCUCACUAGCCACAUAUCAAAUCCUGUCUGGCUCACCCCUCACUAGCCACAUAUCAAAUCCUGGCUCACCCCUCACUAGCCACAUAUCAAAUCCUGGCUCACCCCUCACUAGUCACAUAUCAAAUCGUGGCUCAUCCCUCACUAGUCACAUAUCAAAUCCUGGCUCACCCCUCACUAGUCACAUAUCAAAUCCUGUCUCAUCCCUCACUAGUCACAUAUCAAAUCUUGGCUAACCCCUUACUAGUCACAUCGAAUCCUGGCUCGCCCCCUUACUAGUCACAUACCAAAUCCUGGCUCGUCCCCUUACUAGUCACAUACCAAAUCCUGGCUGACCCCUUACGAGUCACAUAUCGAAUCCUGGCUCACCCCUCACUAGUCACAUAUCAAAUCCUGGCUUGUCCCCUUGCUAGUCACGUAUCAAAUCCUGGCCGACCCCUUACUAGUCCCAUAUGAAAUCCUGGCUGACCCCUCACUAGUCACAUAUCAAAUCCUGGCUUGUCCCCUUGCUAGUCACAUAUCAAAUCCUGGCCGACCCCUUACUAGUCCCGUAUCAAAUCCUGGCUGACCCCUUACUAGUCACACAUUGAAUCCUGGCUCACCCCUCACUAGGCACAUAUCCUUGGGCCUGUCACUUACCCUCUUUGAGCCUCCAAGUCCCAUCCACUAAACGGAGCUCAACUUAGCAGGAAUUUCAUCCGAUGAGAUAAUGUAUCCAGGACACAGUAAAUACGCAGUUACCUUUUCCUUCCCACCCCACCAACAAAUACAGAUAGCACUGAAUCGCCCAGGCC
rnacentral:lncRNA from 1 species